rnacentral:rRNA from 1 species
UACAGAGGGGGCAAGCGUUGUUCGGAAUUACUGGGCGUAAAGGGCGCGUAGGCGGCCUCUUAAGUCGAACGUGAAAUCCCCGGGCUCAACCCGGGAACUGCGUCCGAUACUGGGAGGCUUGAAUCCGGGAGAGGGAUGUGGAAUUCCAGGUGUAGCGGUGAAAUGCGUAGAUAUCUGGAGGAACACCGGUGGCGAAGGCGGCUCACUGGCCCGGUACUGACGCUGAGGCACGAAAGCGUGGGGAGCAAACAGG